AUGAAAGUUAAGGAAUAUUAUCUUGCUGGAAGAGGGGUGAUCCUGAAAUCUAGUAACUUGGCCAGGAUGUGGAUUGACCCCAUUAAGGGUAAAUCUCCUUUGUGGGAUAAGUUCCCCGAGUUGUACAGCAUAUGCAAUGAUCAGGAAAUUACUGUGGCCAAUUUUAGGAGCAAUGUGAGCCCGGAUUUCUUCAGAAGACGCUUGCAUCCUCUACUGAUGGCUCAGUGGAGAGAGGUCAAGCGGAUAGUGGAGUCCUGGGCGCUCUCUAGUGAGCCGGACCAAGUA
rnacentral:rRNA from 1 species